GUCAACUAGUCUGUUGAAUGGACUUUGUCAAGGUGUUAAGACAGGCUCAUCCUAGAAAUAGAGGAAGAAUAGUAUUAGGUGCAGAAGGUUGCAAGGUUCUAUCUAUUUUUUUGAAGACAAGAAACUGGAGACCUAAGUGUGUGACAUGUUUUAAUUCACAACACUGCACUUCUGGUCCAGAAAUACAAUGAAGUAGUCUCUGCUUAUCCAGCUUCACUUUCUGCUGAUUUAGUUACCCAUGGUCAACUGCCAUCUGAAAAUAG
rnacentral:lncRNA from 1 species